UUCUUGGAGAGUUUGAUCCUGGCUCAGGACGAACGCUGGCGGCGUGCCUAAUACAUGCAAGUCGAGCGAAUCAAUAGGAGCUUGCUCCUGUUGGUUAGCGGCGGACGGGUGAGUAACACGUGGGCAACCUGCCUGUAAGACUGGGAUA
rnacentral:rRNA from 1 species